GUUUGAUCAUGGCUCACGAUGAACGCUAGCGGCAGGCCUAACACAUGCAAGUCCAGGGGCAGCAUGAACAAUAGCAAUAUUGUUUGAUGGCGACCGGCGCACGGGUGCGUAACACGUAUGCAAUCUGCCUUAUACUGGGGCAUAACCUCCAGAAAUCGAAGCUAAUUCCCCAUAACACCAUGAAGUGGCAUCAUUUUAUGGUUAAAGCUCCGGCGGUAUAAGAUGAGCAUGCGCCCAAUUAGCUUGUUGGUGAGGUAAAAGCUCACCAAGGCAUCGAUUGGUAGGGGGUCUGAGAGGAUGAUCCCCCACACUGGUACUGAGACACGGACCAGACUCCUACGGGAGGCAGCAGUGAGGAAUAUUGCGCAAUGGAGGCAACUCUGACGCAGCCAUGCCGCGUGAAGGAUUGAAUGCCCUAUGGGUUGUAAACUUCUUUUAUACGGGAAAAAAACCUUGAUCGUGAUCGAGGCUGAUGGUACCGUAAGAAUAAGCACCGGCUAACUCCGUGCCAGCAGCCGCGGUAC
rnacentral:rRNA from 1 species